UACGGAGGGUGCGAGCGUUGUUCGGAAUCACUGGGCGUAAAGCGCGUGUAGGCGGCUUCCUAAGUCUGGUGUGAAAGCCCGGGGCUCACCCCCGGAAGUGCAUUGGAACCUGUGAGGCUCGAGUCCCGGAGAGGAGAGUGGAAUUCCAGGUGUAGCGGUGAAAUGCGUAGAUAUCUGGAGGAACACCGGUGGCGAAGGCGGCAUCCUGGACCGGUAUUGACGCUGAGGCGCGAAAGCCAGGGGAGCAAACGGG
rnacentral:rRNA from 1 species